AGCAGCCGUGGUAAUUCCAGCUCCAAUAGCGUAUAUUAAAGUUGUUGCAGUUAAAAAGCUCGUAGUUGAAUUUCGGGAUCAAUUAAUUGGUCGUGCCUCUGGUACGUACUGGUUUUAUUGGUUUCUCCCUUCUGACGAACCAUGAUGUCAUUAAUUUGGUGUCGUGGAGAAUCAGGACUGUUACUUUGAAAAAAUUAGAGUGUUUAAAGCAAGCUAACGCUUGAAUACAUUAGCAUGGAAUAAUGAAAUAGGACGUUUGAUCCUAUUUUGUUGGUUUCUAGGAUCGACGUAAUGAUUAAUAGGGAUAGUUGGGGGCAUUAGUAUUCAAUUGUCAGAGGUGAAAUUCUUGGAUUUAUUGAAGACUAACUACUGCGAAAGCAUUUGCCAAGGAUGUUUUCAUUAAUCAAGAACGAAAGUUAGGGGAUCGAAGACGAUCAGAUACCGUCGUAGUCUUAACCAUAAACUAUGCCGACUAGGGAUCGGAUGAUGUUAAUUUUUUAAUGACUCAUUCGGCGCCUUACG
rnacentral:rRNA from 1 species